rnacentral:rRNA from 1 species
UACGUAGGGUGCGAGCGUUAAUCGGAAUUACUGGGCGUAAAGCGUGCGCAGGCGGUGAUGUAAGUCAGAUGUGAAAUCCCCGGGCUCAACCUGGGACCUGCAUUUGUGACUGCAUCGCUGGAGUACGGCAGAGGGGGAUGGAAUUCCGCGUGUAGCAGUGAAAUGCGUAGAUAUGCGGAGGAACACCGAUGGCGAAGGCAAUCCCCUGGGCAUGUACUGACGCUCAUGCACGAAAGCGUGGGGAGCAAACAGG